rnacentral:rRNA from 2 species
UGCAGUCGAACGAUGAACCUCCUUCGGGAGGGGAUUAGUGGCGAACGGGUGAGUAACACGUGGGCAAUCUGCCCUGCACUCUGGGACAAGCCCUGGAAACGGGGUCUAAUACCGGAUACUGACCCGCUUGGGCAUCCAAGCGGUUCGAAAGCUCCGGCGGUGCAGGAUGAGCCCGCGGCCUAUCAGCUUGUUGGUGAGGUAAUGGCUCACCAAGGCGACGACGGGUAGCCGGCCUGAGAGGGCGACCGGCCACACUGGGACUGAGACACGGCCCAGACUCCUACGGGAGGCAGCAGUGGGGAAUAUUGCACAAUGGGCGAAAGCCUGAUGCAGCGACGCCGCGUGAGGGAUGACGGCCUUCGGGUUGUAAACCUCUUUCAGCAGGGAAGAAGCGAAAGUGACGGUACCUGCAGAAGAAGCGCCGGCUAACUACGUGCCAGCAGCCGCGGUAAUACGUAGGGCGCGAGCGUUGUCCGGAAUUAUUGGGCGUAAAGAGCUCGUAGGCGGCUUGUCACGUCGGUUGUGAAAGCCCGGGGCUUAACCCCGGGUCUGCAGUCGAUACGGGCAGGCUAGAGUUCGGUAGGGGAGAUCGGAAUUCCUGGUGUAGCGGUGAAAUGCGCAGAUAUCAGGAGGAACACCGGUGGCGAAGGCGGAUCUCUGGGCCGAUACUGACGCUGAGGAGCGAAAGCGUGGGGAGCGAACAGGAUUAGAUACCCUGGUAGUCCACGCCGUAAACGGUGGGCACUAGGUGUGGGCGACAUUCCACGUCGUCCGUGCCGCAGCUAACGCAUUAAGUG